AAAGCGGCGGACGGGUGAGUAACGCGUAGGCAACCUACCCUUUGCAGAGAGAUAGCCUCGGGAAACCGGGAUUAAAACCUCAUAAUACCGCAGUGAGACAUCUCACGGUGGUCAAAGAUUUAUCGGCAAAGGAUGGGCCUGCGUCUGAUUAGUUAGUUGGUGGGGUAACGGCCUACCAAGGCGACGAUCAGUAGCCGACCUGAGAGGGUGAUCGGCCACAUUGGAACUGAGACACGGUCCAA
rnacentral:rRNA from 1 species